CGGGACGGGUGAGUAACGCGUGGGUAACCGUGCCUCACACAGGGGAGUAACAGUUGGAAACGGCUGCUAAUACCGCAUAAGCGCACAGUACCGCAUGGUACAGUGUGAAAAACUCCGGUGGUGUGAGAUGGACCCGCGUCUGAUUAGCUAGUUGGCAGGGCAACGGCCUACCAAGCCGACGAUCAGUAGCCGACCUGAGAGGGUGACCGGCCACAUUGGGACUGAGACACGGCCCAA
rnacentral:rRNA from 1 species